UCUGGGUAAUAUGUUCCAGUGCUUUACUACCCUCCUAGUGAGAGAGUUUUUCCUGACAUCUAACCAUGCAGAGGACUCCAUGCCCAUGAUAGCGUAGAACUCUUUAAAGAAGCAGUAUGUUAAGAAGGAAGUCUGUUCUGCAGCAUGACCUGUUCAUACACUUGCCAGAGAUCUUUUGCUUGUUUCUUGUUCCACUCACAGCCGUUUGCUAUUUUCCUUCAUGAGCUCCUUGUAUAUGAUGCUGUUCUGCCAAGUUGUGCUUGUACAGCACCUCCCCACAGGUUUAAGAGCUCUUCCUUUUUGCUCCAGACAGGACCUGGAGGCAUGUACACACAUAAGCCACAUAAAAAAUACAGCUAAAGCUGAAUUCCCUCCAGGUAAGCAUGGCAUUAGACAAAUAGGGGGAUGUAGUUAGCCUGAAUACAGUUAGCUCUUGGCCUGUGCUGCACAUACUCAAAUAAUACAGCACAGGAUUUGAUGUGUAAUCUGCAAAUGGGUUAGGAGGUGGAUUGUAGAUCUAUCAGGACCCCAAAAGUAUCCUCUCUUGGUAUGUUUAAAUAAACAACACUUAGUACAAGUUGAGUCAUGUUGUCUGAUGUCAGAAGUGACGCCCUUGAAACAGCUUCCCUUUCUCCCACUGCCCUGUUUUCAGCCAGAACAUUCAAAAGGUCAACAUGAGUCCUCUUUCUAUUUUAUUUAGCACUACGUGUUCUUUUCCUUCUAUUUGUUGCAUAAUUCAGGCAGGGAUGAUAGGAUAGAAUCCCCCUAUUUGUCUAAUGCUAUGCUUACCUGGAGGGAAUUCAGCUUCAGCUGUAUUUUUUUAUGUGGCUUAUGCGUCAUGAACAAGUAGUUCUUCAUUAUGCAAUGCCAUUUAAAAAUUCUCAUACACAUCAGUAAUUAUUAGAUACAUGGACCUUUAUAGCAGUAGGCCAAGACUCGGUGCAGGAAAGACAGCAGACAGCGGGCACAUUUACAUGUGUGCCUGACUGUGCAGUUGUUACUGCCUGGUCAUUUAGUAUUUGCUUUAGCAAGUACUAAAUGACUGCACAGUAACCACCGGUACUGCGCAGUCCAGGCGCAACACAGAUCAUAUCUGACCCUAUUGUGUAGUAGCAAUGAGCUACUGUGCAGUAGCUCGUUGCUACCGUGCAAUAGUGGCAGCGUCACAGUUUGUGCCCAUCAACACUACAUUGCCAUAACAACAUAGCAUCUCCUGUAGAUGCGUCCAGUGACCAAUAAAAGAAUGGUUCACUUCCUUUUAGUUAAACACAGAUUAGGUUAUUAUUGAUCAUAGAUGAACCUGAAGCCUGAAGCACCUCUCCUGCUAACUCCCCUUUCUGAUGGAAGUUUUAAAAAACCUCCCAUCACCACUACUUCUCUCACCCAGCAAAUGCCCAUGUAGCUGACUCACAGUCUUCUGGGCUAUGAAAAUGUAUUAGUUCUGUCUUCACAAAUAUGUACAUGAAUAUGAAUAUAGGAUAAGCUAAAAGUUACAAGUUUGAAAGAAUAUGGGAAGUGAAUAUCAGUUGCCAUCUACAAGCCUUGAAGUGCUUUGCAGUCUAAGCUUCACAGAGGUAUGCAAAUAAUUGUAAGUAAGGGAGCUGCCCAAGUUUCCAUAGCAAGUCAGAGUCCAAACCAGGAAAAAAACCCAGGUCACCUGUCAAGUUCCUUCAUUCGCUAUGAAAGUUUGGAAAGAAAUGAUACUUGGAAAUGAUGUCUUGUUGGACUUUGACAUGAGUUGGAGGACUAGGAGAAGAGUACUGUUUUCUGUCUGCUUCUCUUUUGUAAUCAAUCUAGUCUAGCACAUCUAGAAAAAGGUAUUUGAUACAUACCUAUCAUGGAUGUGCUGGGCCAGGAUGGCUUCCAACUUAUGCUUAACAUUUCUUUAGGCUUUACACACAUGGAAUAGUUUCACUGAAGACAAACUGAACAUAUGCUUAAAGCUAAGUAAUAUGCUUAGUGCUUGUCUGGCCUAAGGGAGUGAUCCAAAAGCUGCUGAAUCAACUCCCUUGCCUAACAGGACCACUGUUUCCAUUUCUAAACCAAUACAUGUGAUUUCUACACAAAUAUUUAUCUAACUUAUUUACAUACCUUCAAUAGAAGCAGCGUUAGGCAUUACAAAACACUUGUUCUCUCAGGGUGUAUAAAUCUACUGCAAACACAACUGUCCUCAGGCUGUACAAUCACCAAGGCAGGAAGCUUUCAAAAUGAAGCUGUUCCUGGGUAUCAUUCUUGCCUUUAGUAUCUCAGUGACAUUAUGCAGGUCACAAUGCUUUUUCUAUCCACUUCGAGGCAAUCCAGCAGCUUGUUACCACAAUGGAGUGCGGUACCAGUUUGAGGACACCUGGGAGGCCAGGGACUGCUUAAAGUGCACAUGUAGCUCAGCUGGAGUGCAGUGCUGCAAAACAAUUUCUUAUCCCACCAACUAUGAUCGGGUGAACUGCAUAGCCAUUCGCAACUGGCCAGAAUGCUCCUUUCGAGUUGUCAGGAAACUGGACCGCAGCAUGCCCUGUGAAGUCACUAGGGUUAUUAGUUAGACCCCAAAUUAGCUCUCCUGCUGGUUAAACAAAACGGACCCUGAAUUAUGCAAGUAAAUUGAACAAUGAAAAUCUGCGGCUACUUGACAUUACUGAGUCUUCUGGUAUCUGCAACAUUUUAGGAGAGACUCAAAUCAUUUUUACGUCUAAAUAAAUUUUGGUACAGUUGGGAAGGUUCUGGUAAAGACAUAUUUCUAUAAAACAGCACCAUUUAACCUACGCUAGUUAGGCUAAUAGGCUAGUUAACAGUCUGGUGUAUUUUCCUUCAUGUAAUUACUAGCAGUCCCUCUCUAAUGGUGUUUUCCCUGCAGCAUACUUAGAAGGGCUCAAUGAGUUGGGAUUGAAUCUAGGCGUGAAGCAGCUUUCUGAAGGUCAGUGCUGUGCUCAGCCCAUGAAAUCAGUUACUUUGUACAUCAUCAAAUCAGUUACUUUGUACAGAUGUAGCUGACUGUUCUCCAAGACAAUGUAUGUUGUGCUAGGCUACAGGGUAACAGAAUCAUUCUGGCACAUUAGUCAGGUAACUUUGAGUUGGUUGCAUGCUACAUUUUGGUCAUCCACGUGGUGACACAGAAUUGCGUCCGAAGUGCUAGCCCUAUCUUCUAAAAAACAGUCCUGUUACCAGUUGCCUGGCAAAGGCAACUUUAAAAAAUAAUAUUAAAAAUAGAAUAAAUAAGCAUCCUGGUUAAAAAGGAAAGCUAGGAAACACCUCAAAGACUGAAAACCAGAAAAAGUCAAAUAAAAAAACCCUAAAUUAGUUUUCAAGUCUCAUGAUUUUUAAGCCUAUUUCAUGAUUUUUGAGCACUUAAGGUUGGUAACAAUGCACCUCCCUGGCAUUGUUGGUAGUAUAUUCUCUUCCCUCCCCCCUCCACCUCCUACA